AUUACUUCUUGGCCUUUGGCUAUGAUCAAAUGUAGUAUGUGUUCUUACCAUUUAAUAUCUAGUACAUCAUCUAUGAGGACACUACAUUAAAUGGAAUUUUGAGAUUCAGAGGCAGAAUAAGAACUUGUUUUUUCCACUGUAUUCAUUGACUUGGGAUUUAAGUACCUCCAGGAAUGGUGCAUGCCAC
ensembl:snRNA U2 U2 spliceosomal RNA